UACGUGAGGGUGCAAGCGUUAAUCGGAAUUACUGGGCGUAAAGCGUGCGCAGGCGGUUAUGUAAGAACAGAGUGUGAAAAUGCCCGGGCUUAACCUGGGAACUGCAUUUGUGACUGCAUGGCUAGAGUUUGGCAGAGGGGGGUAGAAUUCCACGUGUAAGCAGUGAAAUGCGUGAGAUAUGUGGAGGAACACCGAUGGCGAAGGCAGCCCCCUGGGAUCAAGACUGGACGCUACAUG
rnacentral:rRNA from 1 species